UAUAAAUUAUAUUAGCAAUAUAAGGUAUAUAAAGUAACAGCAGAUGAGCCACUUUCUCCCUCUGAGAUUGGGCACUAUUUCCCAAGCAGGGGACUCACUUCCUUUCCUUCCUGCAGGAGUGAUGCUCUCCACUCUGUGAAUGUGGCUUUGGGUAUGGCUAAUCCACACCCUGCACUCUGGCCUUCAGAAGCCCAGGGAGAGAAGCCUCCCAGAAGCAACCUUCCAGAACCUUCUCCAUACUCCCACCGACCUCCCCAGCCCCUGUCUUCUCUUUGAAUCUCGUUGUCAAGUUCUUUCCUGGCUCCUUGAGGGGAGGUGCAGCUUUCAUCUGACCAUGCAGGCGUGCUUUGCAGUGGGUAGAGCAGUGCUUUCCUCCUCCCAGCUGCACACUGGAAUCACCUGGAGAGUCCAGAAACUUCCCGCCUCAGUGAAAGAACAUCAGUGUAUCAGCACAGCAAAGAUUCCAAAUGCCAGGCUGGAUUGCCUCCAAUUACCAGGACCUCCAGGCUUCUCCUCCUUUCAAGAACUUUCUGAUCCUGGAUCCAGUCUAAAUGUUGGUU
rnacentral:sRNA from 1 species